rnacentral:lncRNA from 1 species
CUUUUUCUUCUUAGAUGUAGUUGAAGUAUCUGUGGUUUCUUUUACCAUACUUUAUCCAAGACAACAUUAUUCUCUAAAUAACAGAAUGAUAUACUCAACAUGAGACCUGUUUGCUUAUACACAGCUCUCACACUAGUGUUCCUGUUACACAAGCAUGAAGAAACAGGGAUUGAUCUGGUCUGGUCAUAUGCUGGUAUCUGUAUUUGGAAUGGAUGAUACCCCUGUGCCAUACACACUGGAGAUACAUGUUGAUAUAAAAAAAACGUAUUUUCAGCUACAAAAAAUCUGUAGAUUUUAAAGAUAUUUUGCUGCAUUAAUGACACACAAAAAUACUUCAGAAUGGAAAGAAAAAAUGUUAGGGUCACCAUGCAGCUAAGAGAUAUAUUUAGAAAAAAAUUUAAAAACUG